rnacentral:rRNA from 1 species
UUACUCCUACGGGAGGCAGCAGUAGGGAAUAUUGGACAAUGGAGGAAACUCCGAUCCAGCCAUCCCGCGUGAAGGAUUAAGGUCCUAUGGAUUGUAAACUUCCUUUCCUUGGGAAUAAAAUCUCCGAUUCCUCGGAGCUUGAAGGUACCAGGGGAAUAAGCACCGGCUAACUCCGUGCCAGCAGCCGCGGUAAUAA